AUGGUGAAACUGUUCAUCGGAAAUCUGCCCCGGGAGGCCACAGAGCAGGAGAUCCGCUCACUCUUCGAGCAGUACGGGAAGGUGCUGGAAUGUGACAUCAUUAAGAACUAUGGCUUUGUGCACAUAGAGGACAAGACGGCCGCUGAGGAUGCCAUACGCAACCUGCACCACUACAAACUGCACGGAGUGAACAUCAAUGUGGAAGCCAGCAAGAAUAAGAGCAAAGCUUCAACCAAAUUACAUGUGGGCAACAUCAGUCCCACUUGUACCAACCAAGAGCUUCGGGCCAAGUUUGAGGAGUACGGCCCAGUCAUCGAAUGUGACAUCGUGAAAGAUUAUGCCUUUGUACACAUGGAGCGGGCAGAAGAUGCGGUGGAGGCCAUCAGGGGCCUUGACAACACAGAGUUUCAAGGUGGGAUGUGUGUGGGCUGAAAUUCCGAGCUGCGGUUGUGCAUGAGAAUACACCCUUCGUGGUACCCCAUCUCCGGGACGUUCUCGGCUCUGUGCAUUCAGUCCCUCAGGAACCAUGGACCUUAAUUUACCUUGUUAAGUUCUUUCUCUUUCCUAUUCUCUUUCCUGCUCAAUUUCCUGUUCUCCUGUUUAUUCUUCUGUAACUUCCCAUUCGAGUUCUGUUCUCCCAGCAUGCCUCCUAUGCAGAAACUGGUGGGGGCUGUGCUGUCUCCUCCCUGCCUCCUGACUGCAGUGGGUAUUGGAUUUGGGAGUGACCUUGAUGAGAAUCACUGUUCCCAGUUUUCUUUUUUUGGCCCAAAGACUAGACUUAGAAAUUUGGAGCGCUUUCCAGUGAAAUAAAUGGUUUUUCAAAUUAGGGUAUGUGUGCUUUGAGAAAGUUCUUGUUUGGGCUUAUUUCUGGGUUCUUUGUUUAUUUGUACUCUGAAUAGAAGGUGGGGGAGUGUUUACAGUUUAAGCUACUUAGCUUUGGAUAACACUAUAGAGGUUUUUAAAUUUUGCUUUUGAAAAUAGUAGAUGACUUUAGGUACUAAAUAAAAAAGGUUAUACAGAACUCAGAUAGGCAUCUUGUAUCAAUGAAGACAUUUCCUGCUGGUCUACUUUUGUUACAAAGUCAGUUAACUAGUGGUGUAGAGCUGUAGAUCCUCAUUUGCUGGAGAAAUAAUUAUUGUGUACAUGCACCUGCUGUUAACACUCAGUAAACAUAUCUCCCUUGACUAUUUCCAGGAAAGAGGUGAAGGUUUGAGGAAGAAGAGGUAGCUUUCAUCCUUGGGAAAAAUGAAGGUAUGGCUCCUACCAGAGUAUAUUUAGCUACUCCAUAGGCUAGAACUACCUCAUGAUGCAUUUCACUGUUUGUAUAGUUCUGCCAAAAUCAAGAGACUACGUGAGUAGUUCCACUAGCAUCUCAUAGCUUGUACUUAAUGCCUUUAGAUGAGGUAUAAGGGGCCCAGCAGCUCUUUUAUAAGUUCUUGAUAAACUCAGUAAGUUUAUCAUCAGCAGUCAGGACAAGUUUUGAAUGCAGUAAGAAGCAACUGUCUUAGUGUCACUUUUGUUAAAACAAUUUAUCUUCCAUGUUUUAACAUGGAAGACCAUGUCUCAGAAUCAUUUACUUGGCUACUACUGGAUACCUAUGUUAUGCCAGGCAUGCUUUUAGUAAAGGGGUCACAAAUGAUAAAAGGAAAUAAAGAUGAUAGGGAUAAAAGAGCUGCUUUUGUCUUUGGCAACUUCAAGGUUUUCUACUAACUGCUUCUGUCUAUCUCGGUUCAUUCUAAUUUGUAGAUGGCUGGGAUUGUGACAGCUCUCUGUGGACAAAAGUAAUUUUUUUUGUAGUAUGAGACCCUCUGCUAGGUGAUGCAUGUGUUCUUCAAUCUUUCCAGAAAAUGUUUUUCUAACCAAAUUUUUCCUUCCUGGCUGAGUUGGUUUUCUUUGCCACUGUCUCGGAAAGGUCAUACCUAUGUUGGUUCUUUUUUCUUUAAUGGAUAGAUGUAAUUACUGUUGUGCACUUAACAGUUUUAGCCCAAUUUCUUGAUGUGAUGGUUGGUAAUGGCACAGUCUCAGAACGAGACUUAAUAUUUGUUGAUUCAACAGGCUUGAGGAUACUUUGACAGAUGGUAACCCAGGUGCUGGGGAUUUUGGAGCUUUUGGGGGGAUAGGGUGAGAAGCAGAAAUAAAAGAUACACCAAACCAGGCUUUUUGGCAUAUUUUUUUGUCUUAGCACUUAUAUCUGGGUGUGGUGGUGUAUGCCUUUUUUUCCUAGCAUUUGCAAAGCAGAGACAGGAAGAUCUCAUUGAGAGUUCAAGGCCAGCCUGGUCUAAAGAUUGAGUUCCAGGAGAGUCAAAGCUGCAUAGUUAGACACAACAUCAAAAAUAAGAUAAAGUUGCAUAUCAAAUGGAGCAUCCUGUCUGAGUGGAUUGUUUUUAUUGACUCGUUAGAAUAGACUGGUGAUUUCUCACCAUGUUGCUCAUGUAGUCCCUCUGCCUCACCUUCUGAGUAGUUGGGGCUAAAAGUGUACACUGUGCUAUACUUUUACAUUAUUAAAACAUUCAGAGAGAUAAAAUUUACCUGGAUCAUCUUGCUUUUUAAGAGACUAGUUCCUUUAACAGCUUAGCAAUGUUUUCAUCACUCAAGUGUGGGUUGGCUCAGAGCUUUUUUUAAAUAAAAGAUAUGCCUUUGCUACACAUGUACUCUGGCUGGUUUUGAACUCUUACUCUGUCUGUUUCAGAUAGAAGGUGCUUGUUGGCAAUCCUGAUGACUUGAAACCCACUUAGUUGAGAAACAACUUCUACACUGUAUCCUCUAACGUCCACAUGUCUAUAACGCUGGCACACGUACAUGCACACAUAGAAGGGGAAAAUUUAUUGGCGGAAUGUGAUGGCAUACUGUUGUAAUCUCAGCAGCAUUUAAAAGUGAAGUGAUUCAGAGUUCAAUGACUAACCAUGUUACAUAUGUGGUUUAGCAAACAAAAUUCUACUCAUUGACUUGCUGAAAAGUUCUUACAAAGUGCAAUGGGAAAACAGUGAAUUGAAAAUUAUUAGUUGGGGCGGCUGAUAAAGCUCUUGUUGAUAACAUUUUCAGCAUGCUUGAAGCCCUGGGCCUGAUCUCUAGCACUUGCAGAACUACUGAUGUGGAAGUGUACUUAUGUAGUCAGCACUGGGGAGGUAGAAGCAGGAGUUCCAGGUUAUAUUUAUAGCUAUGUAACCAGUUAGAGCAGUAUGGUUUUUCAACCUUCCUAUGCUGACUUACAGUUUCCAAUGUUGUGGUGACCCCUUUCCCCCCAACCAUAAAAUUAAUUUUGUUGCCGCUUCAUAACUAAUUUUGCUAGUGUUAUAAAUCACAAUAUAAAUAUUUGAUAUAAGACCCCUGUGAAAGGGAAAGUUCUUCAAACACAAAGAAGUCAUGAUCUACAGGUUCAGAACCAGAGUUAGAGGCUAACCUAUACUAUAUGAGACCCUGCCUCAACAAUUUGUAGACACUGAAUACAACUGAUUUUAGGGGUUGGGGAUUUAGCUCAGUGGUAGAGCGCUUGCCUAGCAAUUGCAAGGCCCUGGGUUCGGUCCCCAGCUCCAAAGAAAAAGAAAAAAAGAGAGAUUUUCAGCAUUAUAGUGGUUUGAAAUUAUUUUGGUAUAAGUUUCCAGUUAAGUAAGUGAGCAUGCCAUGAGGCUACACUCAUGUGUGAGUAGACAAGGAUAGUACUGGCAUGAGUGACCUCAGGAGUCUGUUUUAAGAAAAAUAGUUUAAGACUAGAGAGAUGGCUCAGAGGUUAAGAGCACUGACUGCUCUUCCAGAGGUCCUGAGUUCAAUUCCCAGCAACCACAUGGUGGCUCACAACCAUUUGUAAAGGGAUCCCAUGCUCUCUUCUGGUGUGUCUGAGGAGAACUACAGUGUACUCACAUAAAUAAUUCUUUUUAAAAAUGUCUUUAAAAAAGAAAAAUACUUUAUUAAUAAGCAUGUUUUCCUAGCAUUCUUCUGCUGUGCAUUUGUUCACUAACAUAAUGAGCAUCUGUGAGCUGGCUUUGAACUUAAUUGAUUAUUCCUGUUUACCAUGUGUGGAGUAUGUAGAGAAUGCACAUCAAUAAGGGCAUCAAGCCUAAUCUCACUUUGCCUCCAUUAACUGCCUCACCCUUCCCACAUGCCCUCCAAUCCUGGGUAUACAGAGAUUUGGUCUGUCUUUGGAAGGGGACUGGGUGACUGGGAAGGUCAUACUAUUUUGUAUUGAAGGUAUGAUCCAUUCUGGUUUUAAGUGGAUCAAAGAUGUUAUGAAGUUAGUCAGGGAGUGCUCAAGUAUUGUUAGACUUUUUUUUUUUUUUUUUUUGGCACUAAGACCUCUUCAUGGGGCUUCAUGAAAACUCAAGAAUAUGCUCUUCCCCUAAGCUAUACCUUGUACACUAGACCAAAAGUUUUUCAGAAGCAGGGUUGAAUUGGUUAAUGCCAAAUUCAAUCCUUCUUACCGUAAUGUAUUAAUACUAAUGUAGUCUUGAGGAGGAGGGAAUAGUGAGAGGUGUAGGUCAUGUGUGCUGUGGGAAUUAAAUACUAUUUUCAAUUGUUGAAAUUAGUCUUCUCAACUCUCUUAAUGUAUGAGGUCAUACUGAGAGAAAGACCAAUUUUCCAGAAUGAUGGCAGUACAGUCCAAGAACUAGUCUCCAGUGCAUUUAGAGAGCAAGCAGGUGUAUUAGGCUGAAGCAGGAGAGUUUCAAGAGGAAAUGUCUCAAAGACUGAAAGUAUUUAAACAUUUUGAAAUGUGAAGUUCUUUUGGAGAAUCAAAAGUUGAAUUAUCAAGUACAGAUUUUUUUUUUAAUUAGAGAAGAAAAAACUUUACAAGAAAUAUAAAUAUACUGUGUAUUCCUGUAAGCUUGUCAUUUAGCAUCCUAAAAGAGAGUGACUGUAUUCUGGGCACUCUGGAUUACACAGUACACAAUGGUGGUCCAGGCUAGUCUAUGCUGUAUAGAGUGAGUGACAGCUGGAGUAGUGGUUUGUCUUAGUUUGAGGUAACACAACAAAGUGCCAUAAAUAGAAUGGUCCACACACACACUAGAAAUAUAUUCAUAGUAUUUGAAACUGAGAAGUCAGAAGCUAGCGAAACCAACAGAUAGCUAAUUUAUCUAGCUUCUGUUAUAUUGAUUUCAACAUGGCUGACUGACAUACCUCUCAUUUCUUUUUUUUUUUUUUUUUUCCUGAGACAGAGAUUCUCUGUGUAAUCUUGACUCUCCUGGAACUCGGUCUGUACACCAGGCCAGCCUUGAACUCUGUUGAGAUCUGCCUGAGUGCUGGGGAUUUGAGUCAUUCACCACCACUGCCCAGCCAUCUCUGGUUUCUUUAAAAAUGGCAGUUCUAAUCUCAUUUGUGAAGGCUUUGCCCUCAUGAUUUGAUCACUUCCUACUAAGGUCUCUACUUUGAUUGGCAUUUCAAAUGUAGGUGAAAGAAGACACAACACAUUGAAUCUAUAGUAGUGCAUACGGUUGAUCAUGGAGGCAGCGUUUUCAUUAACUGAUGAAGUAUGAAUUGGGUAGUGUGUAUAAGAAUAAUACUCUUCAUUUUACAUAUUAGAAAUUGGGAGAUAAACUGGGUAUAUUUGUGCAUGACUUGGAUCCCAGAAUUGGAGAAGCAAAGGCAGGUGGAUCUUAUUGGCUUUGAGGCCAGCCUGGUCUAGAUAGUUUCCAGACAGCCAGCAGUAUGGAGAGAGACCAUAAAAGAAAGAAAUUGGAAAGUAAUUUUUAAAAGUACCAGAUGAUAAAUUAGGAACAUCUUAUUCAGAAACAGGAAAGGAAUGUCUAAAAAUAAUCAGUUGGUUCUGGAGAGGGAGGGCAAUUUGAAAGUUUCAUGCAUCUGUCCAUGUUUGCACUAAUUGUUAAAAAAUAAAAGGGGUUAGUCAUGCUUGUGCCUUAUCCUUCCUUAAGGUGACUGAUGAUGCCUUUGAGACGCAUAUCUUGUGACAGGAAUAAUGACCUUCUAGCAGGUAAAUAGCUAGCUUAAGAAGUAAAGAUGAUGCCCUCUGUGGUGUUGAGCUAAGACAGUUUGUUGGAAUAAGGAUACCACCCAUUUAGAUUCUUCUGUAUAGGACUUAGUGGUAAGCUGAGCAUUUUAUCCCCACAUGUUUUACCUAAGUUGUCAAGUCAAAUAAGUUCUAUGAGUGCCUUGAUUUCCUUUAGUUCUUCUAUAUCUAACAUGCUUAAUUGGCUUCAGGUGUGCAACAAGGUGGGACCAAUUUUACAAUAUAAGGAAUAGUACAGAAUUUAGUAUAGAGCAUUAGUAUAGUACAGUCUAAUCUGUUAAUCCAUGGUGUGGAAAAGGGAAGGAAAGUGGCUUUUAGUUACUGACUUCAACUAAACUAGAACAUUGUGAUGUGUUUAAAGACUUGUUAAUACAGACAAGAAAUUUUUGCUGGCAGGUAGAGAGGUAGGGUGAUGACUGCAAGUUUUAAACCAGCCUUGUUAUCCAUAGUAGGUUUUAGGGCUACAUAUCAAGAUCCUGUCUGGGGGAACAGAAACUUCAAAGAGGGAAGUGUGAGAACUAAAAUGGAAUGAAAAAGCCCCAACAGGAUUCCAGCAUGGCACAUCUAUAGAGUAUGGGUGGCCCAGAGGGAAAAGGAAAAAAUAUCUAGGCAUAGUAUAUGGCCGUAAUCCUGGCUAGUCAUGCGGAAGAGGCAGGAGAGCCACACAUUUGAUAACAGGCUGUGCAACUUUAAGACCUGUUUUCACAGCGUUUGGGAGUAUAAUGCAGUUGUAAAGGGCUCUCACAGUAUAUAAGCCCCAAACUGCCAAAAUUAUAAACUCUGGCAUUUACCUGGAGUCUGUCAAUUCAAAGCUAACCUAGGUAACAUAAUAGCUUGUCUCAGGAAAAAAGAUUUAUGGGAUGAAGUGACUUACUGUAUGUAUUUCCAGUCCUUAAAAUGUGAUUUUCACAAUGUAACUGAACUUGAUUAUACAUCUGUAUCAUUUUAUAUUCUAGUAGCAUGGAAUUGUGUGCCUUAAAAUUACUUUUUUUUUUUUUUUUGCCACAUAUAGUGAAUAUAUACCUAUAAUCUAGCAGUGGGCAUGGAGGCUGGAGGAUCAAGUUUUCAAGGUUAUCUUUAGUGAGUAAUGGGUUUCAGGCCAGCCCGAGACCCUAUCUGGGGAAAAAAAAGGGGGGGGGAUGCUGUUUGUAUUUAAGAAGGCUGACACACAGCCAGUGACCAUCAGCCACAAUAACUACUACUAAAGCCGGGGUUGUAGGUCAGGAUUUCACUGGAAGCCAGUCCAUUCUCAUCUGCUGGGUUAAUAAGUGUUACCUUAGGAACAUACAUCUUCACAUUUAAAUAUUUUUUUCAACUUGAUAAGGUUAUAAAUGGUCUUUGGGCAGGGUUAUAUGUAGUUCAAUAGUAGAAUAUGCAGGAGGCCUUUGAUUCAUUUCCAUCUCCAGAGCUAGAUGUAGGCUACACUUGUGACUCCUGCACAUGGGAGCAGAGGUUUGGGAGGGUCAAUGAGCUCAGGCGCUCUAGGCCGGCCAGAGAAACAUAGUGCUGCUCUUAAAAAAAAGAUAUGUAACCCUUCUGAAGGCUAUAUGUCUAAAAAACAAUGACAGUGGUUCUAGUAAGAGCUGAUUUUGGCUGAUUACUAUUUCCUCUUUUGUGAACUUGGUGAACUCUAGUUCAAAAGCUUUAUCCUUAACUUCAUCAUGUAUGAUAUAAGUUAUUUUUGUGACUUCUUUAACUACAUGAUGGCAGGUCAUUUCUUUCAUUUUAAGCUUUUCUAUUUCUGUCUUUGCAGCAUUGCCAGUGGCACAGCCACAGUAACCAGAUGAAAUACCUGAUGGGUCAGUUUGUCCUGUCAUUUUGCACUAUAUGACCCCAACAUUAAACUGCAGCCCAAAGGUCUGUUAGCAUCAUAAUGUGUAUAAGCAUGUACAUACAUGGCCACUCUUAUCUGCAGUUCUAGGCUUUAGAGAAGUUUAAAAUCUAGGGAAAUGAUGCAGCCAAAGUUAGAUAGUAGAUGUUGCUGCUUAAGGAAAGAGCAUAUGCCAAUAAGCAAGCCCCUAUCAUUCCAACAUGCCAGUCAACAUUAAAAAGUGUUUGGAACCAUCAUAGUUUCCAAAGAACUAAUUUUCUGCUCCAAAUACACUGCCAUCUAAUUGCUUUUUACUGUUUCCACAGCCUUUAUGGCAUUGAAAAACGCUUCCAACAGGAGAGAAAGUAAAGGCUGCCAUGCCAUACUAGGUGCAAAUGGAGUUCAGGGUGCUGAUUGAUCCACCAGGCUGUGGAGGGCUUGCAGACCUGAAGUAGCAUUUUUGGGGGGCUGGUAUGUGAUUUGAGACAGGAAGGUUUCUCUAUGUAGCCCUGGCUGUCUUGGAAUUUGCCAAGGACCAGGUUGGCCUCAAACUUCCUAAGAUUUACCUGUGCAGCUGCUUUUAUAACAUUUUAUAAAUUAUAAAAUACAUUUUUCAGGAGCUUAUUGAUAAGUGUUAGGUAUUUUUGAUCAUUGGACAUGGAGUUUUGCUUUUUACUAUGUAAUCCAGUCCAGCCUAAAACUGAAAUUCUGGUUCUGCUUGUGAAGUACUGGGAUUAUAGAAAUACACCACUCACUUUGUUCCCCUUUUAGUUUUUUUGAGACAUGUUCUCCCUCUGUACCCGUGGCUGACCCUUAACUUGCAUGUAAACAAGGCUAACCUUGUAAUCCUUCUUCAGUUUCUGAAGUGCUAGGAAUCACAGGCCUGUGUGGUCAUGUUUUUAUUAUUAGCCUUUUUAUCUUUUCAUGUCUAAACUUCCAUCUUGUUUACAUCAGUGUGUAUGACUUGAGCAUAGAUGUUAGCUUUUUGAUAUUUCACUUCAUAGUUUUUCAGGUAAGAAAAGUUUAACAGCAUACCGUCAUCUGGGUUUUGAGCCUUUUUAGAUAACUAGUGUUUUGGAUUGCAGGUUUUCUGCACUUGAAUGUAAACUUCGUUUUUGUUGUAAUAUAUGAGUGCUUUGCCUGCAUGUAUGUCUAUGUACCUUGUCCAUGCCUACUGUGCUCAGGUCAGAAGAAAGGCCAGAUUCCCUGGAACUGGAGUUACAGAUGGUUGUGAGCUACUGUGUGGGUGCUGGGUCCUCUGCAAGAGCACCAAGUGUUAACCACCUGAGUCAUCUCUCCAGAUCCCCUUUUUGCAUUUUUGUGCAAUUUACAUUUUUGUGUAUGUAUAUGUGUACCUUGUGCAUGUUGUUACCCUUAAGUCCUGAAUAUUGCCAUAAACUGUAGUUACCAGCCACUGUAAGCUGUAACAAUCCCAUAGGUAUGUUGGAAACGAAACCCCAGGUUCUCUGCAAGAACAGUAAUUGCUUAAUUUUUUUUUUCUUUUUCUUUUUUUCGGAGCUGGGGAUCGAACCUAGACCUUGCGCUUUCUAGUCAAGCGCUCUACCACUGAGCUAAAUCCCCAACCCAAAUUUCUUAAUUCUUGAGUAUUCUAUUCCCACAUUUUAAAUUUACUUGACAUGCGGUGUGAGCAGUGUGAGGUGAGUAGCUGAGUUUGAUUUCUAAAUGACUACUUAGUUGAAAGAUUUUAAAUCUGUUCUAAAAGGGCCAGUGAACUGUUUCAAUGAGUUAAAGCUGACAAUUCAAUACCCAAAACCUUUGGUGGAAAGAGAGAAUUGACUGUUGAAAGUUGUCCUCUGACCUUCAUGUAUGUACACUUUGACAUUCAUACACAAUACACAUAUAGUAAAUAGAACCUCAGCUACAAUAUGGAAUUGUGGCCUCUUUCUUUUCUUCCUCUCUCUCUCUCUCUCUCUUUCUUUCUUUGUGGUGUUAUUGAGGUGGAUCUCUACAAUGUUUUAAAGCUUGCUAUGUAGAUCAGACUGUCCUCAUAUUCUCAUAUAUCCUCCUGCUUCUGCAUCCCAAGUGUUGGCACUAAAGGUGUGUACCACUGUGACUUUUUUAACUGAAGGCCUGAUGUGAAGACAGGAUGUCUCCUACCUAUAAUACCCUGCAUUUCUAGAGAAACUACUGCUAUAGACCAGUUUAACUUAGUCCCUAGGGGCAGAAAUAGGCAGGCUUAAAUUGGGCUGGAGUGCUUUGAGUGUAAUUUGAGAUCUUUUAUCUUUUAGAGAAAUCUUUAGUGCUUCCUGGUCCACUUAUCACAUAAUACCCAACAUCUGCUCUUCAGAAUUGAACCCAUAGGGGCCUAUUAGUCAUAACAGGUAAUAUUUGUCUCCUUACCUGUUUCCUCUCAGUCUAAUAACAGUUAACAUUUUUGGUGGGCAACUUGGCAAGAAUAUAGUUAUUUUUGUACUGAGGAGUAGGGCUUCAUGAAUGCUAAUAAAUGCUAUGAAUUCCAGUUGUGUGUGUGUUGAAAGGGAAAGAGUUUAUGCAUAAGUUCAUAUGUGUGUGAGUCCUGAGUUUGAAAUAGAUCUUCUCCAUGUUUUGUUUGUUUGUUUGUUUUGGUUUUUUUUGGAGAGGGUCUCUGUAACCUAGGCUGCCAACUUGUUAUAUAGACCAUGCUAGCUUCUUAACUUGGAGAGAUUCACUUGUCUUUAUUCCCAAGUGUGCACUACGUCAGGCCUCUACACCAUUUUUAAAAAUGUUCUUAGUUUUGGUGUUUAUGUAUGGGGGGUGGAGGCAUGCUAACUGCUGAGCAGUCUUAGUCCUAUUGUUUUUUUUUUUCCCCCAGCAGGUGGAUGGGUAGGGGCUCUGUUACAGAGAUUUGGGUAUUCUGAAACUAGAUCAGGCUGGCCUCAGAUUCAUAGAGAUCCACCUGCUGGGAUUAAAAGUGUAUGCCACCGUGCCCAGCCCCACUGCAGUUUUUGAGGCAGGAUAUCUUAGUGAACCUGAGUGUUGUCUCUGUUCUUGUUCCUGGGGUCUUAAUUUGGUGUUGGUAAUCGCUUCUCUAAGUUGUACUUGUACAACUAGCAUUUUGCUCACAGACAUCCUUCCAGCUCCCUUCCCAGUUUAGUUUUGUAUAUUCUUUGUUGGUUUGUCAUUUUGCCUGCAUAUAUUUUAGUGUAUAUAACACAUGCAUGCCUGGUACCCUUGGAAGCCAGAAGGAGGCAUCAGAUCAUUUGGAACAUAAAAGAUAGCUAUGAACUGCCACAUAGGUGCUAGGAAUUGAACCCAGGUCCUGGAAAAGUAGCCAGAGCUCUUAAUUGAUGAGCCAUCUCCAUCUCAUUUAUUUUGUUUUUUAAAAGAGAUGUUUAUUUAUGUAUAUGAGUGCACUGUCACUGUCUUCAGACACACCAGAAGAGGACAUCAGAUCCCAUUACAGAUGGUUGUGAGCCACCAUGUGGUUGCUGGGAAUUGAGCUCAGGACCUCUGGACCUGAGCUCAGGACCUCAGCAGUCAGUGUUCUUAGCCGCUGAGCCAUCUCUCCAGCCCCAUUUUGUUUUUAAUUUUUGCUAUCUAGUGUUGGUAGCCUUUAAAUAGCUUAUUCCCUGCCCCUGCUUCCCAAGUGCUAGGAUUACAGGCAUCCACUACUCACAUUUUACCAGUCUUAUUACAUAUACCUACUUUCAGGCAUUUUAAUCCACAUCAUGUUCCCUCUUCAUUAGCUAAUCUUAAUAAGGCCAGUCUACUUAUGUUUGGGCCCACUUCCUUUUUCCUGUGGUUCAUAUCCUGUAAAAUAAUUUCCUUUUUAACUGGUUGAUGUAUCAGUAUUACAUUGUGUUGUGUUCAUGUAGAGAAAGUCUGGUCAUAUUUUCCUUCCCAGUUAACGUCUUUUCUUUCACUUGUUUGUAGCAAAACCUUUUCUAUUGGUUUGCUUUCCAGUUUUUGCUCUAAUUUUUUAUUUUUAGUUUUUUACAUUUUGUGUGUGUGUGGAGGUCAGAAGACAGCUUGUAGGAGUUGGUUAUUACAUAUGGGUCCUGUGGAUGGAACUCAAGUUGUCAGGAUUAAAGUGCCUUUACUGGCUAAGCCCCUUGCUUCAGUUUUCUCUUUAAACUUAUUUUCAUCCAGCUUCUUAUUUCUACCAGUGCAAAGUUAGUGUUUUACUAAGCCAUGCCAUUUUUUUUUUAUUUUAAAAGACUGUAUUAUUUCCUGUUCCGUUUGGCUUACAUGUUGUCUUCACCACCUAAACUAAUGGAAGCUCCAUCAUCUAAAUAAGCUUUCUGUUAAGGACAGUGACCAUAGUAAAUAGAGUUGUGAGUUACAGUGCAUGAUAGUGUUCAGAGGAUGAGGAGAACUUAAGCAAUGACUAUGUGUCCGUGUUUUUAUAGUAAAUGAGGUCUAAUUUUUUUUUUUAAUGAAAUUUAGCAAAAAUUUAGAAUGAGAAGCAAAUAGACAACCUGGGGAGAGUUCUAGGUAACUACUCUGUUUCAGGCACACUGUGCUGAUAUUUUAAAACAUGUUAGAUCCCUUUUCUCUCUGCUUUUGGAUCUGUCAAUCCCCUAGGUAAUCCUGAUAAGGGUUUGUUUUCAGCAGUAAGUCUGAGUUUUCUUUUUUCCAGUACUGGAGAUUAAGGGUAGGUCAUUGCACAUGCUUCUGCAGCCUUUGAAGUUAAAUUACCUAUCCUGGACAUGAACUUGAAGUCCUCCUAAGGCUCUUGGAGUAACUUGGAUUACAGAUCUGCACAAUCAGGCCUAACUCAUUUUGAAGAUGAAAAGAUAGAUAAGUGAAACUGCUAUGGUUUUGCUCCCCACCCCAAGUUGUAUCUUUGAGAUUAUUUUAUACACACAUAAAUAUAUAAAAGUGAAUUCAUCUAGAUCAGGGUUACUUAAAUAUUUCCCUUGUUUUAGGUGACACAUUUCUUACCAUGUGGAUAUGUAAAGAUAAGUGAAAGUCUGUUUACUAUAGAUGAGGAAAUUUGCACACUGAUGAGAAGUGCUUGUUUUACAGUUCUUAGCUUGUGUACACAUAUGUCUGUCCCUGUGUCUUGAGUGUGGGUGUGCACAGCACAUGGCACUGGCUUGCUUGUGUGCAUGUAUGUCUGUCAUGUGUCUUGAGUGUGGUGUGCACUUGGCAUUGGCUUGCUCUGAAGCUCCCUCAAGCUCACCUCUGAUCUCUGCUUAUUUAACAUAAAAAUUUAAAUGUUAACCAACAGUUUUAAGUACUUUUCAGAGUUGCUUGCUAUUUUGAUUUCUUAACUGUCAAUGCUGAACGAUUUUGUAUAAAUACAGAAAACAAAAUGGGGCAAACUAGGGCUAUUUCAGAAAUUGUUAGAAACAUUAUCCUAGUCCUAAUUCAUUUAAUUGGUUUUUAAAACUGUAACUCAAGUCAGCAACUUAAAACAACCGUUUGGAGAAGGAAACAGGCUAACAAUAUAAGCCAGUGACAUACCAGUGUGCUAUAGUAGUUAUUGGAAAGUAUUAAAAGUCCUUUUUCUAUAUUUAAACCAUGUAUUAUGUUUCUGUGAAGGCAUAAAAGCACAAUAAUUCAUAAGACACAAUAGUCUGGACUUGGAGCUGAAGUCUUUCAGUGUUGACACUGGAUGGGUGUGAGGAUGGUAUUUCCAGGUGUUGUUUUUUCAGAACCAAGAUUGUUGAUAACUCAUGCACUUGUUUUUUAAAACACCCUCGUCUAUCUGCAUGUAUGAGAGAGGAGAGAAAGAGGAGUGGGGAAGUGUAUGAAUGGUGUAGAGGUCUGAAGACAGAUCCUGGGAGUAGUCUGGUUUUUUCUUGCCUUGUGUGUUCUGAAGAUUGAACUCAGGUCAUGAGGUUCGUGUGACAGGCACUUUUACCUGUUGGUUCAUCUCACUGACCUCAUGCACAUUUUAAGUUUUUUUUUUUUUUUUUUUUUUAAUCAUUGCAGAUUCACCUUUAACUGCUGCCAAUUUUUUAAUGACACCCCGUAUACUCCCAAAGUACACUAUUCCCUAUGUCACCAUCCCACUUUUCAAGAGACUGAUCUCCAUUUUCAAGUAUGUAUUUCCUAAGAUUGUAGGGCUGUAAAAGUCCCUUACCUGAUAACUAAGGAGUGAUAAGAGUCAAGCCAGACUUGCUGUACAUUCCAGUGAUCUCGAGGGCUGCCUGAGCUAUGUGGAGUCAGUUCAAGGCUAUCCUAGGCAACUUACCAAGUUUCAGGCAGAGGAUUAAUGUCUCAAGUAGAAGAGUGCUUGUCCAGCAUACUGAGACACUAGAUAUUAGUCCCUAAUAUUGUACCAAAAUGUGGGAGGCAGGGCACACAACUGAGCUAAUGAUGUAUUCUCCAUUGAUAUGACCUAUGCAGAUAAAACAUAACAGUAGAAAGAGGAUGAUUCAACUGGGGUAGAGAAGGUAAAAAAGGUAUACUCAAGGGAAGCUCAUGAGGCUUGUGUGACAGGCAGUUUUACCUGUUGGUUCAUUUCACUGACCAUACACAUUUUAGGUUUUUAUUGUUGCAGAUUUAUCUUUUACUGAUCUACCCAGUCUCCCUCUAUGUCAGUGUUCUGUAUAGCUUGAUCCCUGCUGUGACAUUUGAUGGUGAAGGCUACCAUUGUUCUUAGUCUGUGUAGUUUGUGGUACUUACCCAAUUUGUUUGCUUACUCAUUGACCAUUCUUAUAAAAUUCAGAAAAUUCUCAGCUACACCAAUAUAUACCUCAUAUAUACACCCAAGUUUCUACUGCUGAGCUUCAACCCUUACAAUUCCACACUUUAUUUCCUGGAACACAUAAAAUAAACAGUAGUAAAUGUUUUAUGGAGACUAUCCCUUGAAUGAUAGCUCCCUUGAGUAUACCACUUUUGUUUUCCCUAUACUAAUUGGUUCGUAUCUUUUAUAAACUGUAUGUUUUAUCUGCAUGUGUGUAUGCUGUAUGUGUGAAAUGCCCAUGGUGGUCUGAAGUGUGUGUCAGAUUCCUUGAUGGGAGUUACUGUCCCUUGUAAAAGCAGCCAGUGCUUUUUAAAUUUAACUUUUUGUUGUUGUUGGUGGUGAUCCAGGGUCUUUAUAUAGUCCUAAUUGUCAUAAAGCUCACUGUGUAGAUCAGGCUCAAACCCAUAGAGAUUCUCCUACCUCUUUGCCUCCUGAGUGUGGGAUUAAAGACAUGAACCAUUUCUUGGCUAAAAAAGCAAGCAGCCAGUGUUCUUAACUGCCCUAGCAGCUAUCUGUUCUGUAAAAAUUUUGAGUAUCAAGUUAGUUCAGAGCUAGAUUCUGAAUUCUGAUGUGGUACCACAGGACUUAAGACUUUGGGGCUAGAAUUGUCCCAGCCAGUGAAUUAAAGAGUUCAGCAACUGGGGCUGGCAAAAGAUGGUUCAGUGUUUAAGAGCAUUGGCUGCUCUUGCAGAGAACCUGGGUUCAUUUCCCAGCCCCUACGUAACAGCUCACAACUGUCUGUAACUCCAGUUCCAGGCGAUCUGACACCCUCAUACAGGCAUACAUGCAGGCAAAAUGUCAAUGCACAUAAAAUAAAGAUAAAUAAAAUUAAGAAAUUCAGCAAUUUUAAAGCCCCAUGUAGUGGCUUAGCUUACCCCUUGAUCUAGCACUUGGGAAACUGGAGGGCUGCCACAAAUCUGAUCCCAGUCUAGUUUACAUAGUAAGUUCCUGGGAUGUGUGGCCACCCUGGCACAGAUUUUUUUUUUUUUCCCCCUUUUUUUUUCGGAGCUGGGGACCGAACCCAGGGCCUUGCGCUUACUAGGCCAAUGCUCUACCACUGAGCUAAAUCCCUAACCCCCCAGAUUCUUUUAACAUUGGUAAUUCUUCCCUGGAAUGUGUGUGUACUUUUUCCUCUCCCUCUCCCAAAUUGCCAAGGAUGGGAAACUAACUCCCUGAGGCUCCUAUAUGAGUCAAAAACUGAAGCCAGGAACCAAACUUAGGCAGACUGCUUCCCUUUUGGGGGAGCCAUUUUGCAGACAACCAACCUCUUUCUGUCCUUGGGAAAAGCUCCGUGCAGUGCCUUGCAUGGUUUUCUGUGCCUGUCUUCACUUUGUGGCUGGAAAUCAGAGGGAAGGAGUAGGUCAAAGGCUGUCACAGGCAGACCUAAAAGAUGAAGCAAGGCUUUGUUACAGGAGCUUUUGCCAAGCAGAGUUGAGCCUUAGUAGUACUGUGUCUCUCUCCCAACCCUACAAAGGCAUUGCACCAGCACUAGGAAAUUUUCAAGGAAAUCUGGCCACUUUUCUUUCUCCCAGGUGGUGAUGAUACUUAAAUCAGCCUUUAAAUGAUAUUUAAAUUUACUUUCCUUUGUAUUUACAGUAUUUCUAUUUCACGGAAUGCUGCUGCUAGGGUUGUUCCUUGCUCGGGGGCUCUGCUGAGUCCCUAGGGCUUUGCCUCACACAGCACAGGAAGAAAAUCAUGGAGGCAAAGGACAGGGAUAUUAUUUUCUCCUACUUUCCCCAAACUGGGCCAGCAACUUACCUCAGUUCUCACCAUUCCUCACACUCGAAAUAUCUGUAGACAACUAAUAAGUGUAGGUUUGUUUUGUUUUUGGCCUGGAUUUCAUCAUGUAGACCAAGCUGGCUAGCUUUGAACACAGGGAUUCAUCUUCCAUCACUGAGAUUAAAGGAAGGCAUGUGCUACCACAUCUGACUAGUGCUUUUAAAAGAAAAAAAGGUUUUUUUUUAAAAUUGCGUUAAUGUUUUGCUUGCAAGUAUGUAUGUGGACCACAUUUGUGCCUGGUACCCAUGGAGAUCAGAAGAAGGCAUCGGAUCCCUUUGGAUGGGAGUUACAGUUGUGAGCCACCAUGCUCGUGCUGGUGGGCCCUCACUUCUUUGAGAUAGGUACUCAUGUAACCCAAACUAUGUAGUCAAAGAAAACUUUUAUGUUGUUUUUGUGUGUGAGAGCUCUAUCUGCAGGUACACCUGCAUGCCAGAUCAGGGCAUUGGCUCCCAUUAUAAAUGUUGUGAGCUUUACUACCGAGCCAUCUCUGCAGCCUAACUUUAUCAAUUCUUGAUCCUUCUGCCUUUACCUCCCGAGUGCUAGGAUUACAGUGUGUUUCACCUCAUCAGGCUUUGCAGUCUUUAAGUGCAAGUAAGUGGUUGCAGUGCAGUAUAUAGUAUUAACUCUACAGCCGCCCUAGUUUUCCAAGGGACUGUUUCUCCACUAUUCAAUUCAGACAUGGCCUGGCCCACAGCAGGUGCUCAGCUACUGUUGAACAGAAGAGGCAGCUUGAUCAGUUUCAGAGACGUAAGCCCUCCAUCCAGACUGCCACUUGAAUAGAUCUAUACCUAUGCAUCAUUUUAUAUUGACAAUGUACUUUUCUUUUAAUCUCCAUUUUACUGACGUUAGAAUAGUAAGCACUUUAAAGAAAAACUAAUGAGCUUAUGUGAAGCUUGUACCUUCCAAGGUGAAAGUGAAGUUCCCUCAGUCUGCUGUAAGGGUCAGUGUGAGUGGCUCCCAUAUCCUAAUUCUUCUGGUUCCCCACAGCUUUGCUCAAGCCCCAGAGCUUCUCUUUUGGCUAAUGGGUGUGUCUCUCCCCUCCAUUUGGGAUAGCCACCCUCUGUAGACCUCUGGUGUUUACAUAUUAGCGCUUUGUAGUAAUUAGCACAACUGAAUUAAGGUUUAUUUCUUUAGAAGGAAUACAUUGAUCACCAUAUCCUGGUGCAUAGCAGGAGUUCAAAGAGCAGAUAAAGAAAUUCCAGAACAUUUAGAGAGAUCUCAUAGGACUCUGAAAUAGUCUAUGUAGAAGAACUUUAUCUUGGUAAAUGAAAGGAAUUUUAUACCUACAACAUGUAGCUUCUCAUGUAAGAACUAAGGUUUAGAAACAAAUAUAUUGUAUUCUUUGGCAGUCCUAACUAGUUGAACUUUCCCAGUAUUUAUUAUGGGUGAGUGAAAGAAAAAAAUUCUUUAUACUUUUACCAUCAACGUUGUUGUGGCCACUAGCCAGUUAGAUUAUAUAAAAGUUCAUGCACUUAGAGAGAUGGCUUAACAUGCUGCUCUUGCAGAGGAUGUAAGUUUAGUUCCCACCAUCCCUCUGGUGGCUAACAGCCUUUUGUAACUCCAGCUCCAGAGUAUCAACGCUGUCUUUUGGCUUCCACAGGCACCUAUCUACACAUGGCAUAUAGCAGUUGUAUAGAUACACAGACAAAUAAAAAAUAUGGAAUACCACUAGAGAUUCUGGGGAUGUCAAUACCUGCACAUUUUAUUGUUCUUUUUUUUUUUUUUAGAGCCAAGGUCUCUGUGUAGUACUGGCUAUCUAUCGUAUAGCUCACACAGAGAUCCUUCUGCCUCUGCCUCCUGGGUACUGUGACUUAAGGCAUGCACCACCAUGACUGGCUCAACUCUACACAUCUUAGGUUUUUUUCUGGUGUUGUGCAUACCAAUCACAAAGAAAUCUCAGUGGCUUUGUCUGAACUUUUUUGUGAGACAACAGGGACUGUCCCACUUUCUGGUGGAAUGUUGGAAUUAACAUGGGCCUUUGUACUUCAUUUGCUAGUUGGAGUGUGGGCAUGGACCUCUGUUGAUUGUCAUUCUGGCCUCUAUUCAAAUAAUCAGAAAAUUGUAAGGUAUAAAAUAUGUGGAGUUGGAAGUGGUGGUACAUUCUUGGAAUCAAAGUAUGAGAAAGGAUGAUGCCGGAUGACAUCAUGACAGAGUUCGAGGACAGGCUGAAUAACAAAGUAAACAAGAUCCUAUCUCAAAGGAAGGUGAAAGGGGAUGAAGAGAUGGCUCAGCAGUUAGGAGCACUGGCUUUUCUUACACAAGACUUGGGGUUUGAUUUUUUAUUUUUAUUUUUUCCCUUUCCCAGUACCCAUGUGGUAAAAAUGUGUCUGUAAUAUCUGCACAUUGCCCUCUUCUGGUCUCCAUAGACACUAGGUUUAUAUUCAUAGGCAAAAUAACCAUUCAUAUAAAAUAGUCUUGUAAAAUGUGUUGGGUGGGGUUAUAUAGCUUAGGGGCAUUUGGCAUACAUAAGGUUUUGUGCUUGGUAUCCUCAUCCAAAUGAAGAAAAUUUCACAAGUAAUCAGAAUGUUCAUGCAAGCAUUUCCAUACAGGGGACUGUAAACCUUAAGCAGGAUUUAGUUCAUUCAAUUUUAAUAUACAGGAACUCAAGAUUUAUAAAAUAUUGGUUAAAAUAAUUUCUCAUUUGUUUGUUGAGGCUUAUGCUUGCCUAGAAUUUUAACUUUGGGGGUAGAAGCUGGAGAAUUGAGAGUUCAAGGCCAGCCUUAGCUAUAUAGCAAAUUAGAAACCAGCAUGGGAUAAAUGAAAUGUCUCGAAAUAAAAAAAUGAAAAAAAGUUUUGGGUUGGGAAUAUGCUUGCAUACCAUACAUGAAGCCCUGGGUUUGAUCCACAUGACUACAUAGAACUAGACAGUUGCAUUCACUUAAUUCCAGCACUCAGGAGGCAAGAUGAUCAGGAGAUAAAGGGACCUCUUCAGUAUAAAAUAAUCCUGAGACUGGGUUAGGCUACAUGUGACUCUUUCUCAAGAACUAAAAUGGUUAUGGUUCAAGCAUUAGAUCAGAGGUUAGAUUCCUAGGACUCUUGGAGAGAAGCUGGGUGCUUAGGUGAACACCAGAGAUGGGAAAAGUAGGUUGAGGACAGGAGGGGACACUAGGACUGGUUGGCCAGCUAGCUCAAGUGGACACGCCUUAUUGACAUCUUAUUUCUCACACACACACACACACACACACACACACACACACACACACACACACACACACACACACAGAGUUUUACAAAAGCCAGUGAGAUAAAUAUUUGUUGUAGAAACCUAAUAACCUAAGUUUGACACCCUGUGGUAGAGGAAGUAAACGACUCUGAAAGUUUUCUGUCUCCACCUGUGCUUCUGCAUCAGCACUCAAGCGUCCCUCACCCCCUAACACACAUAUACUUAAAAAAUUAAAGAGGGGCUGACCCCAACUCCUGAUAAUCCUAACUUCAUCUUGAGUGUCAGAGUUACAGAUGUAGGUCAUGGACCCAGCACGUUUGUUUCUCUGUACAAAGUACUUUAUUCUACCCAACAUCACUUUGUCACUCAGGUGUGGUGAUUCCAUACCUGAAGCCUAGCACAUGAGGCAUUAAAGGGGGAGGAUCAGUAGGAGUUCAAGGAAAACUUCAGCUACAUAAUCAUUUUAAGACUACCACGAGCUAUACUGUCUUAAAAACUAGCUCCCCCUUAAAACAAAAAGACCCUUCUUACUCAUUUUAACCAAAGCUUAAUCCUUGCAGAAAUCUUAACACUUUGAGAAGAAAUGACUUUUAAGAACUCAUAAGGGAAUUUUGCACUUGGGAAAAGUCUAGGGAAUUGACUCCAGACUUUAUGCUCUAUAUGCCUAGCCUUUUUUUUUUUUUUUUUAAGUUUUACUUUUGAGAUUUUAAAUUUAUGUAUAUGGAUGUUUUCCCGCAUUCAUGUUGCACCUACUCUUGGAGGUCAGAAAAAGACAUCGAAUCCCUGAAAUAAGAUAGUUGUGAGCCACCAGUAUAUGUACUGGAAGUUGAACCUGUCUCCUGGAAGAGCAGUCCAGGCUCUUCGCUGCUCAGCCAUCUCUUCAGUGCUCUGCACUCCCAGCCCCAAUUAACAAAGGAUAAACAUCUAGAAAUGAUGGCUCAUGUCUACUCCCAAGACUUGGGAGGCAGGAGUAUCAACACAAGUAUGAGACUGGUCUGUUCUACAUAGCAUGUUCUAGGUCCAGCAGGGCUACAUUAGGGACAAUUUGUCUCAAAAUAUACAGAAAGAGGAAAAGAAGAGUGAAUGAGAGAGUGGAGUGUCUAUCAAGCCUAUCAGGGAGGGUGUUAAACCCUAAAAUGUUUGUUCUUUAAAAUUUUUUUAAGUAUAUGAGUAUAUGUGUGCGUAUAUGUACACGUAUCGUAAUGUGUCUGCCUGGUGCCUGAUUAAGUCAGAAGAGGGCAUCAGAUCUCUUGGAACUGGAGUUCUAUAGAUGGUUCUAAGUUAUCGUGGGGAUUGGGGAACUGAACUGGGUCCUCUGGUUGCUCACUGAGCCCACCUCUCUAUCUCCUUAGUUCACUCAUUACACUGGUUCAGAAUGCUAUGUUGCUAAAAUUAAGUCCACUUGACAGGAGUUUGGAGCUACUCUUCGAGCCUUUUUAUGAUACAGGAUUUUCUAUAGGGCUUCUAUCACUAGUACCUUGGCUCUCUGGGUGGGUUAACCUUUCAGUUGUAGAAUAGCUCUAUUUUGGAGAAAUGAGCUUGACCAGAUAUGCCUAAGCAUCCAGUGUUUCAAGAUUCUAGCUAACCUCUGAAACCAUAUUGCUGUGCUCAGUUUUUCCUUGUACACUUCAGGCGUUCACACAUGUGAAUUUUGUAGCUCAGGCACAACUAGUUAAGAAUCAGAAGACAGUAGUGGUAAAUAAUGGUCACUCAGUUAAGAAAAGAUUAAGUGUUAGAAACAUUUAUUUUUUUUUUUUCAAAAAAAAUAUGGGGGAGUGGAAUAAAACAAGGCUAAAUUUCAGCAAAUGCUGUACCACGAUCACAGGUCAGACAAAACCGAAAACAAAACAAAAUCAAACCAAAACAAGAACAAAAUCCCAAUGGUCCUAGCAACUUCAGAAGACUAGCUUCAAUGUUAAAGAGUCCAGAACUAACAGAAGAGUUAAAGGCUGCUUGCCACUACAUGGUCAUUUUAAAGGGAAAGAAGAUGCUGCAGGAAGGCAGGGAGAAGGGCUCAACUCCUAAGGAAAGUAAGAUUAAGAGGGGCUUCCACUGUACAGGAAAAGGGGGGAUGCCAGCAUAAUCCUUACCUAGGGCUGUUCAGAGGCUGAGAAUAUAAGGAACAGAGUGAAAAGCUACAGACAACUAGCAUCGAGGAAAGGAAAGUCAACUUAGAAGAAUUAAAUUAAGAAAGAAAACAUAGUUGGUCACAAAUUCCUUUGUUUACUGAAACAUGAAGCAAUGGGAACAUCCUGGCAAAGGGGACCGCGAGGACCAAGUUCUCAUAUAUGACCGCAGCCCGAGGGUUCAGUCCGCAAUUAUCCUACCUGAAAGAAAGCAGAACACAAGAGGCUUACACAAUGCCUGGAGUGCAGUCUGGUUCCGAGUACAAGGGCCCUGGUCCCGUCCUGUAUUCCAGUGGGGGAAGGGGUGACACAAAGAACAAAACAAAAUCAAGUCAGGUUUUGGGUUGAAUGUAUAUCCAGUAAAAUCACCCCAAAGUCUAAUAGGUAUAGAUAGGAACCUACUUAGGCUAUAUGCUGCACAAGAUGUAAAACUGAUAGUUUAAACUCGGCAUGGCUCUAUCUUUUAACUCCGGUAACCCAUAUAGUAGAAGGCUUCAAGGGAGGUAGAAAUUUUCAAUAACUACAGAUUAACUUGGGAGUCCAGAAAAAAAAACAAAAGAUGCUGAGAUCAGGUAACAGUCAACAAUUUUUUUUAAGAGAUGGGAUCUAAGUAUGUUGCCCAAUAUGAGCAUAAACUUCUGUUCUGAAGCAAUCUCGAGUGGCUGGAACUACAGGCAUCUACCACCCAUACAUGCCCAGCCCAAUUUUACUAUUACAGAUGUUCCAAAGAAAACAUUAAAAACCAUCGUCACAAAGAAUGCUGUUAAAGAACAGUUGGUCAUUUACCCUUUAAGGUAUCUGCACAUCACACUGUUAAUUCAGAGCUGUGGUUGCAGUAGUUUUCUGAUUGACCAAAUAACCCUUGACAAACCAAAAGAAGAAACCACUGCUAGGACUGUCUAAUUCCUCCAUUGAUGGUGGGAACUCCAGACACCAAUGGCAGGGGAAAAAAUAAAUUAACUCACACCAAGCUCCUCUACUUAAUACAGACACAGGGCCAAAUCUUGGUCUUGAUCUGUGCCAAUCGACUUCAAAAGCUGUGAUGUUCUUGGAUCAGUUCUGUUAGGGUGAGACCCGAAUUUGGAUCCCCAACAGUUGUGGAGUAUUUCAUCCUGGCAGCCUCAUUAACAUCAGGCUCCUGGGACUGCAACCAACUCAGGGUUAUUCAGUCCAUUUGAGGUUCACACCUGGAAGGUAAGUUUCUUUAAAAGUCAUCACUAAAAAGAGGUUAGUUGAGCACCUACUGAUUAAAGUUAAAAUGUCCAAAUACCCUUAAAGGCUAUAAUAUACUAACUUAAUGUUAACUUUGAAACAUAAUGGGAGAGAAAAAGUUAUCACGUUAUCUAACAGAUUUAUAUUAACUUUAUCAGAGGUAUCUCGCAAAGUAGACCCAGGUGUAAAAUUAGCAAACUCCAUUCACAUGCUGAACACAUGGCAGAAUGAUGGUUCUAAAAAAUCCCAAGUCUCAAUGACACAACUGUAUAACAUAAGCUUAAGAAAACAUGCAUGCCAUUCUUUUCUUAAUACAUAUAUGAACACAGGGCAUAAGUUGAGAACAUUGAAGUGUCAGUGGUAACAGCACUGCUGGGGUUUUAAUUCAAGUGUUCAAUUUCACUGUACAAGGAAAACCAUGAGAGAAUUGUAAAUUAUAAAUGCCAUUUCCUUCUAGUGAAAUUUACUUGUCUCUGGAUAUCCCCAAUUCUUGCCAUUCUGAUACUGUACACAUUUCUUAAAGUAGGGAAACAUUAAAUUUACUGUGUCACCACAUAAGAUAUUGGCACAUCAGAAACUAUUUUAUCUAAUUCCUUGAAUGUUCUCUCAAAACACAGAACUAUCUCAGAGAAACAGGAAUUUUAUCAUAGGCUACAGAGAAUAGGGCAUAAGUGCCUAUAUCAUACAGAUGGAUACUUUGGGCUAAAAUAAGGACUUCAUAGAACACAAACAUGAAAACAUUCAAUACCGAAGUGUGAGACUAUUAGGGCUUUAUCUGAUGUGUAAAGUAGCACACUUAAGAGCUUCCUUUAAAAAAGGCUAAUAACACAUGAAAUAGUUGGGCUUUGUUUUCUGUAACUUGGGGGGUAUUGCUAUACUUCCUAGACUUUGCUAAACUUGCUGUGUAGCGUAGGAUUUUCUCUAACUCACCACCCCAUCCUUCCACCCCAUCUUCCCUGGUACUGAAAUUAAAGGUAUGCACUACUCUUAGAAGUGUUUUAUUAGCAAACUGAGAACCCUUGAAGUUGGUUAAAACUCUCCCUGUGCUGUCCAUUACUAGCUCCCAAAUGUUCCCUUUACCUUAACCAUCACAGCAGUUUUGUAGAGGAGAGUAUGAUUUUAUUUUGGUUUUUAAAGAUAGGGUUUCUCUGUAGCCCUGGCUCUCAUGGAACGUUGUAUAUCAGGCUGGCCUCAAAAUUCAGAGCUCUACCUGCCUCUGUGUCCCAAGUGCUAGGAUUGCGUGUCUGCCACCACCAACUGGCCAGAAUUUAAGAGUCCACUCUGAGUCUGGAUUUUGGCAUUUAUCAUGAGGUACCAGAUGAUAUAGGCCAUGGACUGAAGCUGAGCUUUAGUUUUUUUCCUGGAUGAGACAGUAACUAUUUGCAAAGCAAAGGACCAAUGUGUUAGCUCUUCCCACCUUUUUUUCUUCAUACCAAGUAUCUUUUUACAGCUGGUUAAAUGAUAUUCUCACUGAGCACGUUCAUGUUUCAGAAGUAACAUACUGGAGUCACUAACUCCUCAACAGGCCAAAUAAACCUGGGGCCUCAACUACAGAAAAUACUCAAAACAUGUAAUUUUUGCUUUUUGGUAAGGUCCUGUUUGGUGAUUUGGUUCCUCAGUGAAGCAAAGGUCUCUUGUAGGGAACUAAGUGCAAAUUUCAACCACAUCCAUCCCACUCUCACCUCCAGUUUUUAAAAGGCUGAGUACCGUGCUCGGUCCACAUACUGCUCCCGCUCAUACCGGGCCAUGUCAUACAGAGAAUUCCGUGUUGCUGCUGAAGCCUGAGACAUCUCACUCUCUGGCCCAUAACCGUAGCCCUCUCCAACUGUGGGGAGCACAGCUGCAUUCCGACGUAGUGGGCUCCUGUCCCUUCCAUAAUAGGAAGAGGAAGCAGCAGCAGCCAUUGCAGCUGAGGUGGCAGCAGAGCCAGAGUUCUGCAAUAGAUGUCUGUCAUAAGGAUCAACAGAAGUGGAGUUGAGGUGACUGGGUACAGCUGAGCUCUGGACUUGAGGAAGAUGAGACAUGGUCUGCUCUGCAUAAUUGUAUGCGGAAGCUGCAGCUGCCGCUGCCACAGCUUCAUAAGAUCUGACGCGGUAGCGCUUAUAGUAGUCGAGUGCUCCAUAGGCAUCGUUGUAAUACAUGGACUCCCCAUAACCCAUAGUAUAAGGCGUGCGCACUGCUCCAUAUUGUUCAUUGUACUGUUCAGUAAAGUCUGCCACACGCCCUGUACGGUCUACUGGGCACUCUUUGGACCAGUGUCCUUCUUUACCACACCGAUAGCAACCACUCUGGUCUCCCAUCCCAGGGGCAGUCCGAAGCCGGCUAGUUGACAACUGUACAUGCAUUCGUUUGCCUUGAGGAAACAGAUUAAAAUUAUUACUCAUUAACACUUUUUUCACUCGCUCAAAUAAAAGUAAACCUAAAAUACAUAGGUAUACACACGCCUGGGCCCUUUCAUUCAGGAACCCUUUCCAAAAGAUUUGUUUCAACAUAAGUGAGACCCAGAAAAUUGGAGUCCUUAGAGAUCAGUCAGAUCCUGUUUACACCAGUAACAUAGAAGGGAGACUCUGCCAGACUUUUUUUUUUUUUUUUUUUCCUUUUUUCUUUUUUUCGGAGCUGGGGACCGAACCCAGGGCCUUGCGCUUCCUAUGCAAGCGCUCUACCACUGAGCUAAAUCCCCAACCCCUCUGCCAGACUUUUAUCUCCACAGUUUAUUUCCUUCCCCAAUGCAGAGUGCAAAGACUGCUUCCUUUUACUGUGACUGUUACUACUUCCAAAUCAAACAUGGCAUCUAGCAAAACCUCACUAGUAAUAAAACUAAUAGAAGUUUUAGAAGACAUCUUUACUUCUGAACAUCAUGUUAGAUCUGAAAAAAGCAUAUGCCCCUUAGCAUGUAUGUAUGACACCAUGGUGGAGAGCAAUCUUCUAUCCCCUGUGUUUCUUCCAGGAAUUGUCUAUGUUAUGUUGGAUACCUAAAUCAUACUUGGCUUAUCAUUAGCUUCCUCUGUACCUGGGGAAUUAAAAGACCCUGUAUAUAUAGGGCUGGAGAGAUGGCUCAGCAAUUAAGAGCACUGACUGCUCUUCCAGAGGUCCUGAGUUCAAAUCCCAGCAACCACAUGGUGGCUCACAACCACCUAUAAUGGUCUUAUCUGAUGACUGCUACAGUGUACUCAUAUACAUAAAAUGAAUAAAUGAGUUUAAAAAAAAAAGACCCUGUAUAGAUUUCAACUCCUUUCCUCAGCAGCAGAACUCUUUGAACAAUGCCUCUUAGAAUAGAUACUAAAAAUUAUGUUCUGGGGUUGGACAUGCAUCUCUCAGUGGUUUAACACUUAGUUACUAUAUGAAAGGCCAAGUUUGAGUCCCAGCACCAAACAAAAAUAAAAUGAAAACAGCACUAGCUUUUUAGGAACUGUACUUUUGUGUAAAAGAAUAAUCAGCAUUUUAUCCUACCAUGCAGACUAUAAUUCUUUACAGGGAUUUCUCUAUAGUUACCUAAGAACUAUGAGCACCCAUGCAAGCAAUACACCUAUACAUAUAUCUAGAAAAUACCACUGAGAAAAUAACUCUUUUGUCCAAGAGUUUAACGUACCACCCAGCCCAGGGACCCUUGUUGUCUCCAACAUGAAACCAUCUUUAGUGAGAACAAAUAUGCUCAGCCAGACUAUGGUGGUGCACACCUUUAAUCCCAGCACUAAGGGAUCAAAGCAUAGUCAGGUGGAUCUCUGAGUUCAAGGUCAGCCUGAUCUACAGAGAAAGUUCCAGGACAGCCAGAACUCUAUGGAGAAACCUUGUCUCAGAACAAAACAAUGUUCAAGCUUAUGACCCCAGAUGCUAGUAGAUAGUCUUCAUCACAGUCACUGAUGCUGUCAACAGAUAGAUGGUGUUCAUUCUCUGAAAGUAGCAUGUGCUACAUGUACUUGCCAGAAACAUUUCUGUCUCACAUAUCCUCAUGUAAAGUUCUCUAAUUUAGAGAAUUAUAGCCACUUGGCUUUCAAACAGACAGACAUAGUGACAUUGAGCUGUGUAACUGACACAUUACUCCAAUUCUCAAUCAGAAUAACCAUGCCAAUCUAGAAAGAAAACUCUGUAGGUUGGCCUAGAGAUCUAGAAGUCAACUUUUAAGGGAAAAAUGCAAUUGAGUUUGUUGUUGACUUUCAUGGAUUUUGAGUCCAUUUUCCAUACUUUAGGGAUUGUACAUGAUGUCUCUGUUUUUAGAGCAGAGAAUGGGAAUGCGUUAAUGUGGCUAAGUCUUUCUACAGUUGUGAAAACGGAUGCAGUCUUUUUUUUUUUUUUUAACUUAGAGCUAGAAACACCUGUAAAAUAAAUGAUAGAUGGGGUCCUUGUUUUGUAUUCCUUCCAAAGAUUAUGUGGGCUUUAAAUUUAAAAUCUCUAAAAUUCUGUGCUUUAGAAAUAGGUAAAAAAAAAGUUUUACCACUCUACUAGGUACAGAUGACCAGACUCUCUUAGGACUUUUGUGAAACCUCCAAGUUACUGAAAUUUUCCAAUAUUUACCAGAAAAUUAGCCCAGAAAAAGCAUUUUCUCUUGAAAGCUGGAACAAAACAAUAUUAGAAUGCUAAAAGGUGGAAAGCUUAAUCCUAAUUCUGUAUUCCUAUCUUGGGUCAGGGUUCACAGAAGACUAGAGAUGUGGAUGACCUAAUAAUGAUUCAUUGAUUUGUCACUGAAAGGACACCCCUAAGUUCUUGCAUAUCCUUCCCAAUUCAGCUGCCUGGAUGGUUACUUGGGAGCAGCUUCUUUAUGGUUUCCAAUUCAAACUACAUUCACUGCUGCCUGUGGAAAGGAAACAUCUUAAAAGACUGAGGGAAACUCAGUAUGUUUAGAAGUUCUACAAUGUGGAAACUUAAAAUUUUAGACAACUAUUAAUACACAGAAGAUUCAAAAGAUGCUCAGUGGCACUUUUUAGAUCAAAAAGGCAUUAAGUUGAGCAAAAUGCCAAGUUGGCAUCUGGUUUGUACUUUCUAGAAGAUACAUGACAAUCUUCUAUGUACAACCCUAGCACUGAGAAGGCUGAAGCAGGAGGAGUGUGGCUUGAGGGUGGUCUCAGCAAAGAAACAAGCAAACAAACCAAAAAAACCACAAUUACCCAAUACUAAACUUUAUGUUACAUCCUAGAAAAAAACUUAGAUGAUUACAAAAAUAUCUACAUAUGUAAGCAAGAGUAAAUCACUCUUCAGAAGAGCCAGAAACAGAAUGUGAUACCAAUAAAUGAUUCUUUUUCAACUCAGUUUAUUGUCUGUACUUUCUAUGGAAGUAAUUUUAUAUAUAUAUAUGUGUGUGUGUGUGUGUGUGUAUAUAUAUACAUAUAUAUAUAUGUCCAUUGCAUUAUUCAGUUCCCUGUUUCUUAUGUAAUUAUAUUUGUUAUUAAGCAAAUACAAGGGAUAAGAAGCAUAACUCAGUGGUACUGUGUACACAGCAUGCUCAAGACCCUGGGUCCAAUAUUCAGCACCAAAAAACAAGGAAACAAAAAAAUCCUAUGUACUCAUCCUCUUAACUUCCAUUUCCUUUAAAAAUGAAAGGGGCAUAUAAUGUACAUUGAGAAUUUAUCUGCAAAUAUAGUACUUUUUAAAAAAUUUUGUUACCUUCUUUAGGGAUGGAGACAUAUAGACUCAUGGUAGAGCACUUGCCUAGUAUUUGUGGGGUCCUUGGAUGACCCCAGAAGCAAGGAGGUGAGGCAGGAACUCCUUUCUUACUCUACCCUUUCCAUUCAUGACCUCCUUCCACAUUAAGUGAAAAUAAUUAGCAAUGUUUUGAAAGUGUGCUAGUGUUGUUCCAAAGUAAAAGAAAAAUAUGAAUUAAAAAAGUUUAACUAACAUUUUUGUUUUAAAGAUUUGUUUAUAUGAGUACACUGUUAACUCUUCAGACACACCAGAAGAGGGCAUCGGAUCCCAUUACAGAUGGUUGUGAGCCACCAUGUGGUUGCUGGGAAUUGAACUCAGGACCUCUAGAAGAGCAGUCGGUGCUCUUAACCACCGAGCCAUCUUUCCAGCCCUAACUGUCACAUUUUAAGUACUUUCCUAACCAGAAUAGAAACAAUCAUGGUUGCAAAUAACACUCAACUUUCAUUAUAUUGCUUUUAUUGUCAAAAUGCACUUAUUACCUCACUGCCAUCCUUUCAUGGAGGAAGGCACAUGAGAGAUCAUUAUUUUAUAAUAGCGAAAAGCAUAGAGAGUACACUUGACAACUUGCUGGUUAAGGACAGGAAACAGCUACAACUUUUACCCUAGGCUUUCAAUAACUAAAGGCCAGGGUAUUAGUGAUGAAGCUAGAAUACAUGAUAGUGAGCCUUCAGUAAGCUUCACUAUUUGCAUAUUUAAACUUUUCUGAUUAAGUUUUCCUUUCCCCCACCAUUUCAUUGUUUUCUAGGUUUAGCAGAGGACCUUUGUCUAUUUAAUUUUUAGGGCACAAAAAGAUGUUGAAUUAGGAACUAGAAAAGUAGCCUUGAAUUUGUGGUCCAACAUGACAGUGUCAAUAAAAGUCUUGUAGAACUGCGCUAACCAAUGAACUUCCUGCAAUGUGGGUCUGAUCUGUCUCCUAAUACAGUAGCCAUUCCCUCACAUGACUUGCAUUCUUGAAAUAUGCCCACACUGGAAAAAUCUAAUUUGAAAAUUUACUUCAAUUAAUUUAGAUUUAGUAACCAUAUGUAACUCGUGAUUACUAUAGUAGCAUGAUUCAAGGAUUUUCAGACACGCUCCUAUGGUAUUAGUGAUAAUACAUACACACUUAUGAUCAGUGUAAGCAAUACAGUAAUUCCUUGCUGGAAUUGCCCCAGAAGUAAACCUUCAUUCCUAGCCAAUUCCUAAAGAAAAAAAAAAUUAGUUAAAUGGAGCAGAAGAACCUAUGACAUGUUUCCUGGCUUUGCUUGUAGUCCACAGACUGAACAAAUCUGAACACCCCAAAGAUCCCAUCUACCAACCAGACUCACCACGGAUUCUCAUACAGCCCUUCCUCUAGAUGCCCUUUCUCUGCUUUACUACCACCGUCCAUCAUUGAAACUCUCAAAGGCUACUGGGUCACAACAAAACAGAAACAAGUGGUAACCUCUAGCCCUUCUCACACUAGCAACUUAGACUUCUGACAGCACUCAAGUGAAUAAGGACAAAAGAAAGGAACCCACAUAAUUGUGGAGAAACAUCUUGGCAAACACAAUGGAAAACGUUUACUUCCCUAAGAGCAAAUUAUGCUUAAGAGUAGUAAACAAUCUAUUCUCUUCAAUUAAAAGAAAUGGUAGAAGCCACUCUCACAGCCCCAUGGUCUUGUGUUCUUGCCUCUGCCUCUCAGACUCCACGAAGGUCUGCCACCCAAGCCCCAGAACAGUUCACCUUGAAACUCUGUGUUGUCAAGGCCCCUGAUGGCCUCCACCGCAUCUUCUGCCCGCUCCAUGUGUACAAAGGCAUAAUCUUUCACGAUGUCACAUUCGAUGACUGGGCCGUACUCCUCAAACUUGGCCCGAAGCUCUUGGUUGGUACAAGUGGGACUGAUGUUGCCCACAUGUAAUUUGGUUGAAGCUUUGCUCUUAUUCUUGCUGGCUUCCACAUUGAUGUUCACUCCGUGCAGUUUGUAGUGGUGCAGGUUGCGUAUGGCAUCCUCAGCGGCCGUCUUGUCCUCUAUGUGCACAAAGCCAUAGUUCUUAAUGAUGUCACAUUCCAGCACCUUCCCGUACUGCUCGAAGAGUGAGCGGAUCUCCUGCUCUGUGGCCUCCCGGGGCAGAUUUCCGAUGAACAGCUUCACCAUUCUGACAAGAGCCUGGCAGUGAAGAAACAAGAUUUCAAAAGUCGGGUGUGAAGUGAGAAACUGACUAACACUGCAGCGUUUCCAGACCCUCAGUUAUUCUUUUUGAGAGAGGAACAGCAGUUUGUUCCUAAGUAGUGAAGCUGUGUGACAAUGCCAACAGAAGGUCGGGGGUCAGAAUGCACAACAUGGUCCAAGAUACAUAUAUAUACCCGUGAGGUCAGGCACAUUUAAUCUACAAGGUUAGCUGCUUCACGGUUUAGCACAGGGAUGGAAAAGACAAGCGGAAGCCAUGAAGUAUUUGAAUGUCCCUAGUUACAGGAUUUUGGAGGGAAAUCUGUGUACCUUCUCCACAGCGCGGUAUCACCUCCCACCAUACUCCUAGAACGAAAGCCCUCUUUCACCCAACACCUGGACCUCUUUCCUCAGCGGCCCAACCUCCGCUCCUACAUCCCAACAAAGACUCGGCCCGACCCCUGCCCCGCCCCCUCCGGAGACCCGGCCCCGCCUCCUUUCGUUGUCUUCCCGGGACCUUCCUCAGAAAAUGAGUGGCCCCAAAUCCGGCCCUCCCGAGGUCCGGCACAGCCCGCUCCUGGGCUUCCCACACACCCACAGCAUCCUCUCCUACCUCCGGGUGGUGCCGGUGGUGGCGGCGGGUCCCGCGUCAGAGAGAACCCUACAAAAUGGCGACGGCCGCUCGAGCCUCGGCGCGACCGGGCGCUUUCUCGCGCGCCAGCUCACGCACGCGCGAGUGCGCGCUGCCUGCCUCCCCUCCCCCUCGCAGGAGCGGGGCGACCAAUCCUGUGGCCGCACACAACUGUCCGCCCCCCACCCCCCGUGCGGGGGCGGGGUCAUGUGGUGACGGCACUGCGGAGCGAAGGUCAGCCCGCCCCCAGCCCUGGCUAGCCAAUCACGGCCUUGGGAGGGGGUCGCAGCUUGCGCGUCAAAAGGGCUCAGGAAGCAACCAUUGCCUUGGCAAAACUGUAAGGCCCGGGGGAGUCUCUAAGCAUCACAAUGGAUCGUGGUAUUGGGCGCUGUGUCGAGGGGCUGAUGACAAAGGGUUUUCUCACUGGGCCCGCUAGAAGGGGGAUUUCUCAACCUCUGGCGGCUGAGAGCGAUACUUCAGAAAUCCAGGCACUACCACAUCUUAACCUAAUCUCUCCCUUGUUUGGGUGGGACAGGGUAAGAAUUCCCUUAAAACAAUUUAAUUUUCACCGCAGUAGUGUUGUUCAUUGGUGAAGAAGCUGAGACCUAGAGUCGAAGAGUAGAAAGAUAAUCUCUGUUAAAACUGGUGUCUAUCGCGGUUCCUGAAAGGUGGUGAGUAUUACCAAGGAAUACGUUGUCCAGAGGUCCAGAGAGAAUCCAGGUUUGGGAAUGUGAGUGACAAGGGCUCCACAUCCACUCCAAGCUUCCUGAGGUACAAGCAAUUGUCAAGCUACGGACUCUGAGCUGCGGUCCAAGGGCACCUCCUGGUGGCAAGGAGGGUACCACCUCAAUGGAUUACUGUAUCCCAUUCAACAAAGCAGAGCCGGUUUACAUACAUUGAUGGAUUGAAUGUAUCUCUUAGUAGAGGCACCAGGAUGAUUGUUAGACCAUCCCCAUUGUUGUUAAAAACAGUUCCCCAUUGUGGUAGUUCCAACACCAGCUCCUCCAGUAAAAUAAAGACUUCCUCCACCCAA